rnacentral:rRNA from 1 species
UACGGGGGGGUGCGAGCGUUGUCCGGAAUCACUGGGCGUAAAGGGCGCGUAGGUGGCCCGACAAGUCACUGGUGAAAGCUCGAUGCUCAACAUCGAGUCGGCCAGGGAUACUGUUGGGCUGGAGCACUGUAGAGGCUAAUGGAAUUCCGGGUGUAGCGGUGGAAUGCGUAGAGAUCCGGAAGAACACCGGUGGCGAAGGCGGUUAGCUGGGCAGUUGCUGACACUGAGGCGCGACAGCGUGGGGAGCAAACAGGG